AUAAGCUGGACCUGGUUGGAUUGCACGGUAAUUCCAUAAUAGUGAUGGAUGUCUCGAUUGUGAACACUCGGCGGAUGGCAGAAAGCUGGCAUUUGAAGAUUGAUAUGUACAAUAAGCCCGCCAUCAAUGAGACGAUAAUGAAAGUAUGCUCCAAUUCCAGUCUGGACGGUUCGGUGGAUAAGCACAUUCCUACUGUCAUCUCGGAUAGAGGAAUGUUGUACCACAAAUCAGGGGCUGGGCUUAGGAAAGCUGGGUUCAAAGAGCGAGAUCUGUCAGAUAUUUGGCUGCUGACCGUCACCGGUUCAUUGAAAUGCUACGACACCUAUAUGCACCUCACUUAAUUGACGUGAAGAUUGAAAGAAAUGGCAUCUUCCUAACUUAUCUUCAUGUUUUCAUCUCCUGUUUCGUCCAUUUCCCUAUUCAUCAGAUGGACCGGUGCGACGAGUGAUGCGUAAACCGAAAGGGGUCAUCAAUCCGAUAAUCACAGUUCAGCAAUCGCAGCAGCAUUCAAUCGCCUUCGAAGCGAAUCCGGGGGAUUGAACUGAAGAAAGCCCUCAUGUUGAAAUAAAAGUUUCCUUUUUCUUGUUUGGCAUGUCUUAAGGGAAGAGAUGGUCCUACUGGGGCCAAAAUAAGGUUCGGUCGGUGGCAGGCCGAUCGGUAUGGAAUGUCGUCUUAGUCCAUUUUGGAUGUUUGAAAUCGUAAUGUGAUCUUGUUUUGCAUGUUUAUUGGGAGCUGACUACUGUCGCGGUUUCGGAAGGCACAUACCACAGGUUGACCAAAAUGGUCGAUUGGCUUGACUGGGCAAGCCGAAAUCAAACGAAUCCCGCGAAUGAAGGCAAUCGAAGGCAGUCAUGCAAAAUCCUUCAAGCUGCAUGGGCUGUGACAUGCGUGAGAAGGGCAGGCAUAGGGUUAUCGUUCUCUAGUGCACUGUUGUGUACACGAGGGAGGUGGUUCUGGUGAUCCCUCAGACAUUACGGACUGCCGUGUACGGAACAGUCACAGUGAUCAAGUUCGGCCAACUGAUCGUGAAAUAUAGGUCAAAGCUGCGCCGUUUGCACACGCCCAAUGAAGUACUGUCAAGCACAGCAAGAGGUAGCACUUACUUUGCCUGUGAUUGCCAAGAUUCUACCUUGCCGGUAUACAAUUCAUUGGAUGAGGGCAUAGGUUCCCUCCUGAGCAUGCUGGCUGCCAUUGGUGUCGUCGUUCACUGGCUGUUGGUGUUGGAUGGCGUUUGUGGCCAAGUUGGUAUGGACGCGCUCAUGAUACGGGCUGACAAGUUACAAUGUUCGCUCUGAUGUGAGCAAGUGUAUAUAUUUUGAGUAAGUGUAGGCAAAUUGUUAAGCCGGCUGGCUUGUCCUUUGCGUUGAACGGGUUGUACUGAUGCCCGGUUCGAUUGUGUUUCUUACGGUAAAUCCCUCGCAGCAAUGGGCUGCCUGCGGUUGAGCAAACUGCUUCUGCCAAUAAAAAUGGUGUAAGUGGUCUACAUAGUUAUCGGACGGCUAUAUGGAUGUGCCGCGAGUGUUCAUUCUUUACAUGUGGUCGCUUUCACUAUUACUGGUGUCAGAUCAGUGAAUGUACUGGGGGCAAAUGUCCGAUCAACUCACGAUGGUAGAUGAACUGCCUACCAUGGUGAUAACGAAUAACGGGGAAUUAGGGUUGGAUUCCGGAGAGGGAGCCUGAGAAACGGCUACCACUUUCAAGGAAGGCAGCAGGCAUGCAAAUUACCCAAUCCCGACACGGGGAGGUAAUGACGAAAAAUACGGAUACGGGAUUCAACAGAGUCGAAUGAGUACAAUUGAAAUCCUUUAACGAGGACCAACUGGAGGGCAAGUCUGGUACCAGCAGCCGCGGUAACUCCAGCUCCAGAAGUGUAUAUUAAAGUUGUUACAGUUAGAAAGCUCGUAUUUGGAACUGGGUUUCACGACUACGUGCUGUCACUUACUUUCUCAGUUGGCUGUUAAGGCCCUGGGUUUGGUGGGUCGGUGUUGUGGUUGUGUGGUCUUUCUGCUGUAUCUGUUUUGCAGGUGUUGACUAGGCCUUCGGGUUUGUCGGCAUGGUUCCAGAUGCCUUUAAACGGGUAUAGAGGGCGGUUAGCAUAUCUACUUUGAACAAAUUUGAGUGCUCAAAGCAGGCCCUUGUGCCUGAAAAUUCUUGCAUGGAAUAAUGGAAUAAAAAUUCGGUUCUAUUUCGUUGGUUUUUGGAUCCGAAGUAAUGGUUAAGAGGGACAGACGGGGCAUUUGUAUGGCGAUGUUGGAGGUGAAAUUAUUGGAUCGUUGCCAGACAAACUACGGCGAAAGCAUUCGCCAAGGAUGUUUUCAUUAAUCUGGAGCGAAAUUCAGAGGUUCGAAGACGAUCAGAUACCGUCCUAGUUCUGACCAUAAACGAUGCCAACUGACGAUCCGUGGUGGUUCUUUUAUUGUCCUCGCGGGCAGUCCGCGGGUAACCUCUAAGUCCUUGGGCUUUGGGGGAAGUAUGGUUGCAAAGCUGAAACUUAAAGGAAUUGACGGAUGGGGACAACCAGGAGUGGAUUCUGCGGCUUAGUUUGACUCAACACAGAAAAAUUCACCCGGCCCGUACACUGUGAGGAUUGACAGACUGAAAGCUCUUUCUUGAUUUGGUGGUUGGUGGUGCAUGGCCGUUCUUAGUUGGUGGAGCGAUUUGUCUGGUUAAUUCGGAUAACGAACGAGACUUUGGCCUGCUAACUAGUAUGCCUGUCCUCUGGUUCAGCCCUGACCACAGAGCUAAUGGUAUCCGUUAAAUCCGCCAAUUACUGCCAGAGGUGUACUGUUCCACUGACGGGUCAACAUCACCGUCACGUAGAGAUACAAACAAAACAAGGCAUUAGCAUAUAAACAGGUAAAUUUCAGAUUGACGAUGAUUGGUAAUACUUGUAGUCCAGCAGGUGGAUGUUGCUGAUCUUCCGUUGAUAAGAAACUUGCGUUUAUUAUUCCCCCUUCCGAAGGAGACCAUCACGACCAAAGUUAUCCUGAGAAAGCUCAGUCAGCUGUCGCUCAAUCGUGU